ensembl:lncRNA
AUUUUUUAAAGCAAAGAAUUAUGAACACUGGGAUUCUUAAAUGCAGUAUAACUUUACCUUUAUGAAAAGGCUCAGUAUUUUUUACUUUCCUUUUUUAAGUGAACUAGCUUUGGGUAUUAUUCUUUUAAAGAUGUGGAGUCUUAUCAACUUCACAGAGUAACAACUAAAUCUCCAAGUUCUUUAGGAAUGGACUUUGAAUGUCUGAGGAAGACUCACAAACCAGAAUUCCAGUUUUACUUUCUUUUUCUAGGGAGAAUAAAGAUUGUACUUCUAAAAAUGUCCCCAGUGAUUUUAGACCAAUAAGCAUUUCCUUUUAUAAACUAUUAGAAACUUCAGAAAUAGAAUUAUUUUGUUUCAUCUCUUUAUUGCCACAAUAUCCAGCCCAAGUUCCACCAUUGUCUGGCUAUCAGUUUUUGGACAAAUGUUGAACCUUUCUAAUCCUCAGUUUCCUCAUGAUAAUUGUACCAUUCUCAUUGAUUAUGGCAAGGGUUAAAAAUAUCCAGCACAGUGUCUAGCCUGGAUCAUUAAGUUUUAGGUAUUAUUUAUACUGUUAUUAUGCUACUGGGGGAGAUAGCAUAACAUGGCGGUUAAUAUGGUGGACUUUAAAGAUAACCUACCUAGGUUCAAACCUUGAUUGCCACUUACUAGUUCUGUGGCCUUGGAGAAUUACUUAUCCUCUUUUGCCUCAGUUUUCUCAUCUGUAAAAGGGAUCUAAUAGGAUCUAUCCAUGGAGUUUUUAUGAGGAUUAAGUGUUUUAGUAUAUAUGAAAACUAUUGAGAAUGGUGUCUAGCAAGUGCUGUAUGUGUGAUUCUUUAAAUCACACAAAAUACUUGGUCCAUAUUUUAAGUAUUAAGUGGAUAAAGUAGUUAUAGAACAAAGCCAAGUCAUGUCACUUUUGUUUCCUUACCUGUGUUAAUAUUUCUUUUUCUUUGGAGUAUUCAGUAACGAGAGGAACUGCAUGCUUUCAGAUUGUUGGCUGAAGAGUACUCAAUUUGACCAGUCCCCAAGGAGGUACUUGCCAGAUUGCUAGGAUGGAAAGUUAAUGAUUCAGAAUCAUCAAAAUCUGAGAUGAGUCAACUAAUGUCUAUCUUACUGUCUUAGGUAGACCCCAGCCAAGAUCAUGGGAAAAGUAUUAUGAUGAUGUCUGUUUUCGCUAAUGGCAUCAAGAAGAAGCUUUCUGAAGUCUUGAUUUGAUGAAAUGUAUUGACCUUGAUGCUGGUAAAGACUGAAGGCAGAAGGAGAAAGGGAUGACAGAGGACGAGAUGCUUGGAUGCCAUCACUGACAUCAGUUGAGGCCAUCAACUCAAUGGACAUGAGUUUGAGCAAGCUCCAGGAGUUGGUGAUGGACAUGGAAGCCUGGUGUGCUGCAGUCUAUGGGGUCACAGACAGUUGGACAUGACUGAGUGACUGAACAUCAAUAAUAAAAAGAAAAAGAAAAAAGAAAAACUCUGUCUUCUAGAGCUAUUUAGAAGAUUAGGGAUUUGUCUUUUCUUUCCUUAUAGGUCUCUUGCUG